rnacentral:rRNA from 1 species
CAGCUCAGCAUGGAAAUUGGGGCCCUCGGCCUUGAAUUGUAGUCUCGAGAUGUACAGCCCACGGAGGCGCAGAUGUAAGCCUCUUGGAAAAGAGCAUCAACGAGGGUGAGAGUCCCGUUUGUCAUCUGCAGUCCCCCGUGCACGGCGUAUCUUCUAAGAGUCGCGUUCCUCGGAAUUGGAGCGUAAAGUGGGUGGUAAAUUUCAUCUCAAGCUAAAUAUUGGUUCGAGACCGAUAGCAGACAAGUACCAUGAGGGAAAGGUGAAAAGGACUUUGAAAAGAGAGUUAAAAGUGCCUGAAAUUGCUGAAAGGGAAGCGAAUGGAACCAGUGUUGCUUGGCGAGAUUGUCGUGCGCUAAGGUAUCCCCGGACGCGCAUGCUGUUUCUUGCCUUGUGUGUCAACGCCAGUUCGCGAUCGAAGAAAACUCCAGGGACAUGGUAGCCCAUCUCCGGGU